UAGUGUUACAGCUCUUUUAGAAUUUGUCUAGCAGGCUGUCUAGUUUUCGCUGGAAAGCCCAG
ensembl:snRNA U7 U7 small nuclear RNA